rnacentral:rRNA from 1 species
GAGUUUGAUCCUGGCUCAGGAUGAACGCUGGCGGCGUGCCUAAUACAUGCAAGUCGAGCGAACGGACGAGAAGCUUGCUUCUCUGAUGUUAGCGGCGGACGGGUGAGUAACACGUGGAUAACCUACCUAUAAGACUGGGAUAACUUCGGGAAACCGGAGCUAAUACCGGAUAAUAUUUUGAACCGCAUGGUUCAAAAGCGAAAGACGGUCUUGCUGUCACUUAUAGAUGGAUCCGCGCUGCAUUAGCUAGUUGGUAAGGUAACGGCUUACCAAGGCAACGAUGCAUAGCCGACCUGAGAGGGUGAUCGGCCACACUGGAACUGAGACACGGUCCAGACUCCUACGGGAGGCAGCAGUAGGGAAUCUUCCGCAAUGGGCGAAAGCCUGACGGAGCAACGCCGCGUGAGUGAUGAAGGUCUUCGGAUCGUAAAACUCUGUUAUUAGGGAAGACAUAUGUGUAAGUAACUGUGCACAUCUUGACGGUACCUAAUCAGAAAGCCACGGCUAACUACGU